rnacentral:ncRNA from 20 species
ACUUUACAGGGUCGUAUUAUCGCGUAUAAUUUCGACCUUAACUUGCGCGAGCAAGCUGAUGGUGCUUAGCCUAUCUAAGCCCCAUCCAAGACCGUAGGUGGAUAGCUUGCUAUUCUUAAUAACAAGCCUACGUAGAUGGUGAACAGACAGAAUUAUCUGCUUCUGGACACCUUAGCCUCAAGAAGAUGCCGUAUAAGCGGUAAUAUUUUUGGGAUUUUUUGUAAAUUCUGCUCACGAAAGUGGCAGAGUGUAUCAGGAGCUAAAACCA